rnacentral:rRNA from 1 species
UAGGGAAUCUUCGGCAAUGGACGAAAGUCUGACCGAGCAACGCCGCGUGAGUGAAGAAGGUUUUCGGAUCGUAAAACUCUGUUGUUAGAGAAGAACAAGGACGUUAGUAACUGAACGUCCCCUGACGGUAUCUAACCAGAAAGCCACGGCUAACUACGUGCCAGCAGCCGCGGUAAUACGUAGGUGGCAAGCGUUGUCCGGAUUUAUUGGGCGUAAAGCGAGCGCAGGCGGUUUCUUAAGUCUGAUGUGAAAGCCCCCGGCUCAACCGGGGAGGGUCAUUGGAAACUGGGAGACUUGAGUGCAGAAAAGGAGAGUGGAAUUCGAUGUGUAGCGGUGAAAUGCGUAGAUAUAUGGAGGAACACCAGUGGCGAAGGCGGCUCUCUGGUCUGUAACUGACGCUGAGGCUCGAAAGCGUGGGGAGCAAACAGG